GGAUUUUUUCUCUUUCUCUUCCUCUUUCGUAAAGGUCCCUGUCUCUAUAAUUCAGCGGUUUCCUCUGUCCCAUCGGACAAGGGACCCUCUUUCUCUAGUCCCAAAAGGGGCAUGCCCUCCUUCCUUCUGGGCAAGGUUGUGUGUGCAUAAAUAAAUCUAUGUUAUCUUUAUGGUAGAUUUAUGCGGAUUAAGGAAUACAUUUUUAGAUCCACGGUUGAAUGUUUGUCUAGGUUAGCUUUGGGUGUAUACCUAUUCAAAUCGGCUUGCUGGUAGUUUUGAAGGAAGAAGUUAUUCUUCUUAAACAACAGCUGUGCUUAUUGUACCAGAGGCAUGAGCAUCUUCUCCACUCAUUAGUGAAUGGAAGGGCAUUGCACGAAUGGGUUGCUAUUGAUCUAAGUUAUCCACGUACUCUAGGUGCUAAUGAUGCAUACUAUUUCUACUGGUUUUUGCGACCUUUGGUUCUCUGUUCGUCAUGGUCUCACCCACCCAUGGGUCUAUGUUGCUUAUAGUUGUUUUGGAUUCUAGAUUGCCUUGUUUAUCACUAUGGACGAUUGUAUGAGUCUCUGUAAUUGACUUUGAUCUGUAGAGCUCUGUUUCUCCUUUAAUUCUCAAGUUUCACAGUGAUAGCCUGAAGAGCUACGGCAGCGACAGUGGUAAUAUAGCAAAGAUGUUAUAUUUUUUGUUUGUUCUUACCCUAGCUAGGGUUAGAGAUAGGCUGGGCUUAUAACAAUCUGAAUUUUUAUUUUCUUUCUUAGUUUUCUUGGUUGGGUUUUUAGUAUGGUUUGAGCUGCUGAUUUUGCUUGUAUGAACCUUGUAUAUGGACUUUAGCCCAUUUUUCAAAUGAAUGAAUAUUUCUAUCUUUC
rnacentral:misc_RNA from 1 species